UUAUCCACCCGCCUUGGCCUCCCAAAGUGCUGGGAUUACAGGCGUGAGCCACUGUGCCCGGCCGAGUUUUUCAAUAUAAAUGUACUUUAUUUGAGUUACAGAGAAGAGAUAUAUAACUGGAAAAGACCUGGUUAUUACUGUUACAGUAAUUCAAAGAUGAAGUAGGGAGAUUGUCUCUGCCACUGUUUCAGUUUUAUCCUGUUGCUUUCAAGUGGUUUGAUGGGCUUGAUAGACCGUGGGUCUGAUGUUUGAUACAUGAUGAUUUGAAAUCAGAAAGGUGUUUGGUGUUACUAUCCUGCUCUUACAUGACUUCAAAAUUCAGACAAUACUAUUAUUCAAAUGAAUAGACUUUGCACCUUCAUAGGUUCCCCUAUAAAGUCUAAACUUCAAGAAUUUAGUCUCACAGCUUCAAUGACAAAAAGAGAAUUGAAGACACUUUAAAGUAUCAUACAAUCAUAUUAACUUUGAACAAGGUGAACAAAAAAGAACUAAAUUGCAUAUUUUGUUAUUACCCAUUUCAGAAGGUGAAUUCCUGAGGCCACAAGAAAAUGCUUCAUGCCAACAAGUUUCUGUGGGAAAUGAGAACUGCAGCUGCCAACUUCACCAUUUUGCUGAUGUCACUAAGUGCAAGUUUGACUUUUCAAUUAGACCAUCUAUGCCUAAAGAUUUUUCAGAUGCCAAGAUGCUUCUUUCACAUCUUAGGAUCAUGGUGGUUUGUAAACAGAUAAGAAAGUUUGGAGUUGCCCAGAAAGAAAGCAUAGUCAUGCUUCACCAAUCCAGUGCUCACUUAUCCAUGUCAGCUCUUUAAGUCAUGUCUGAGAUCCCUGAGGUAAGCACAAAGAGGUCUGAGUGGAGAGAAAUAAACAGAAAUCACAACUUGCAAAACUGUUCUAUAACUUGCAAAACAGACAAACUGUACCAAACCAGGACAUGCAGGAAAAACUAUCCAAACUAAGACCCUUUUAACAUCAGCUCAUCCAGGGCCCUAUGUUCAAAAUAAGACCACAGAUUUGAUUUUAUAGUAACUGCACAAGGACUUGUGUCUUUUAAAGAUAAGACCACUGAUUGUUCCAAAAACUUAUCAAGUUGACAGAUUCUGACUAAUCACUGCUCAGACCCUCCCCAUCAUCUUCUGCCCUAAAUCCAUGCUAUGACAAACCCCAGUUCCCCAAACCCUGUAAGUAUCCUCCCCUAAUUACCCUAGUUUGAGAUGUGCCACAGUUCUCAUGGUGUGUGCUCUUCUUGCUGCAGGAAGCAAGUAAACCUAACCUCUUUUUGACCCCAGGUGUGUCUUGGUGAUCCUUGGUGGGUAAGCUUUUAUUAGCUUUUAUUAAUUUUUUUUUCCUAACCACUAGACAACCAGGGAUGGAUAAUUUUUUUUU
rnacentral:lncRNA from 1 species